rnacentral:tRNA from 1 species
UCCCUGGAGGACUAGUGGUUAGGCCACAGCGCUCUCACCACCGCAGCCCGGGUUCGACUCCCGGCCAGGGAA